UUGGGUACAAUUUAAUACAUAAAUGUCAAAUAUUUACAGGAAUAAAACACUGGUCAUUAACUUAAUUUAGUAAUCAGUAAUGAUAAUUAAGACAGUUGUGCUCAUGUCGUGCAGGGCCUCUUAUUUAAAUCUCUCAUUACGCCUGUCCAGAUGUUUCAAACCUCUGAAAUGGAAACAUAAAGUACUUUUCAGUUAAUGACACAUUCCCCUCAGAGGAUGAUCAAAACUCUUUCACACUGUCUCUCUCUUUCUCUCUUUCUUUCUUUCCUUCACUUUUAAUCAGCCUGCUCAUAUAAAAACUCAUUUCCACUGUGCUAAAGUGGAGUGAGGGCGAGGAGGGAGGGCGAGGCUGGACAAAGCUUGAAACACGUGGUAGAGAAGCGGAGGACGUGUGAGACUACAUGUUGUAACGGCAUUUAAAUUACAUUUAGAAAACAUUAAAGGAAAACAUUUCCCCUCUUCAGUUAACUGCAAACACUUUAAUCGAACACCGAACAAGUUUCCCCUGAUUACUUUGGAUAAAGCCGAUGUGUUUGCACAAUGAGACCCCUUCCUCUCUCUCUCUCUUUUUUUUUGUCUCUACGUGUCGAGAAGAACUUAUCUACGAAUGCAAAUUGAAAUUUGUAGAAAAAAAAACUGGAGCAUUUCUGCUGCAGAUAAACAGUUGGAGCCAAACCAGUCCACCCAGAUAGUCCUACGUCCAUCUUUAUCUACACCCACAGGAGGACCUCUCACACCCCAAAACCAGCUCCCACACCCUAACUACAAUGACGGCCACGAUGUCCCACCUAACCCUUAACUUAAGAAAUCGCAGUUACAUCCAUAAACAAAGACCCAGUUACUUGAAUUGAAUUAUUGCUUUAAAAUAUUAAGAACUGCAGUCCUCCACCCUCUGUAGGUUUACUAUGAUAAAUGAACCUGACCUUAGAAAGGUGGUGUAGAGGUAGCCGAGGACGUGAGUACACUGUGAAUAAUUCGGUGUUAAUGAUUUGGUGUUGCGAGCAGGUACAUUCAUCAGUUGAGAAAUCACUACACUCAAUAUCUGAAAAAGAGGUGGCUAUAAUGUGUAUAUCCUGCACUACAGGACUCUUGUUCAACUUUACAAGCUUCUGCAGCAAAUUUUAGGAACUUAAUUCACUCAAAACGUAGGAGAGCAAAGACAGCCUAUUUUUUAAAGGAUGUAGACAGACUGUCAGGGAUUAAAGACAAACUACAGCAAACUACCACCUGCUCUAUCACACUCCUGUCAUAAUUUCAUGCCGUGGGGCGUCUGUGUGACACAUCUAAUAAAAAAAUAUCCUGGAAAUCUCUCUCUGAGCGAGUUUAAUAAGUCAGAUAACGUGACAUCAGCUGACAUAUCAUAGUAUUGAAUUCCAAACCGUGAAAGAGUCACGCAUAAAUCCCAAAUGGUGCCCGGAUUCAGAGGACUUAAGAGAUGCUGAACAUUAGAUAUAAGCGAGAUAAAGCGUCAAGCUUUUUAACAGAUGAUGAGGAAAUUCUGUUUUGCUUAUAAUCAGACAUGUAUGACCGGGAAAGGUCACAUCUGAACUCUGUGAACGAAGAAUCUUUAGAGAAAUAUGCAUUUAAAAACUCCGAGCCGUGAAUGUAAGAAUAAGUCUAUAUGCAGUUAAAAAAAAAAAAGGGUGUGGGCAAUCAUUUUGAAAGAGGCAACCAGGUUUAGGACCAGAUAAGAAAAAGUUCACCCCGUGCUGCCUGGUCCACCCAGAUGUCAUCACGGUAUGCUAAUGAGCUGUGGGCCCUUUUAAGUGCCAGAGCCCAGCAUGCAGAGCAGUUAGGAGCCUGUGAACGAGACAUGGACGCAUGGAAGAAGCCAUAAAAAAAUAUAUAUAUAUACAUGAGCAUGUGGAGGAAAGAGUCAUAAAGGAUGUCCAACGCAACACUGCAUGCAAACAUGAUUACAGACAAAGCUGGGGAACUCGCUGCAAAACAUUUCUGUCUUGUGCCCUGGACAGGAUAUCAUCUUAUACUGUAAGUUUAUUAAAGAGACACUACAGUAUAGAUGAUGUACUAUCCAGGGUUUUCAUUCCACCUCCAGGCACUGUCAGCGCACGCUCAGGCCGCCCUAACGGACUGUAGGAGGACGAACGUAAACGCACACCACUGCAGAGGAGGGCCGUCAAACCGUUACCAUUACUGAGUUUAGCAAUGGUAAGGGUUCCACGGCUCUUGCUCAAUGUCAUCAGGAGCCGGAGGAUGGAAAAAAAAGUUUGUGAUUGACGUUUUAUUCAUGAUGUUUUGAUUACAUUAUGUUAAAUAAAGGUUACAGCUCCCAAAAAACAAAUGAGUAUCUCAUUAUUC